rnacentral:rRNA from 1 species
UACCUAUGGAGGGGGAUAACCCCGGGAAACUGGGGAUAAUACCCCAUAGACUAUAGAUGCUGGAAUGCUCUGUAGUUGAAAGGUCCGCCGCCAUAGGAUGGGUCUGCGGCCGAUUAGGUUGUUGUUGGGGUAACGGCCCAACAAGCCUGUAAUCGGUACGGGUUGUGGGAGCAAGAGCCCGGAGAUGGAUUCUGAGACACGAAUCCAGGCCCUACGGGGCGCAGCAGGCGCGAAAACUUUACAAUGCGGGAAACCGUGAUAAGGGAACUCCGAGUGCCCGUAAAAUCGGGCUGUCCAUCUGUGUAAAUAACAGGUGAAGAAAGGGCCGGGCAAGACCGGUGCCAGCCGCCGCGGUAAUACCGGCGGCUCGAGUGGUGGCCACUAUUACUGGGCUUAAAGCGUUCGUAGCUGGUCUGUUAAGUCUCUGGGGAAAUCUUCUGGCUUAACCAAUAGGCGUCUCAGGGAUACUGGCAGACUAGGGACCGGGAGAGGUGAGAGGUACUCCAGGGGUAGGAGUGAAAUCCUGUAAUCCUUGGGGGACCACCUGUGGCGAAGGCGCCUCACCAGAACGGCUCCGACAGUGAGGGACGAAAGCUGGGGGAGCAAACCGGAUUAGAUACCCGGGUAGUCCCAGCUGUAAACGAUGUGCGUUAGGUGUAUCGGUGACCACGAGUCACCGAGGUGCCGAAGAGAAAUCGUGAAACGUGCCGCCUGGGAAGUACGGUCGCCAGGCUGAAACUUAA